GUAAAAUAUCGCGAAUAGUCGCAUUGUUUGGUAUUCUCGGGAUGAGUUCGGAGUGUUGGUUUGAACGCUGAUCGUAGACGUGCCGAGGAAGCGAAUCGAGAAGAAGAUAAAGAAGCAGAAGUAAAAGAAUAAAAAAGGAUUAGUUAACGUGGGCGAGGCGCGAGUGAACUGUCAGUGAUCCUCUCUUCUCCUGGGUGACACAAAGGAGGGUUCGGGAAGCCAGGAAGCGAGCCAGAAGGAGACAUGACGUUUUGGCGCUGGGGUUCGUGGGUUGAGAAACGUGGUUGUCUGCUAGGAGGGGUGGACGCGGGGGUGUAUCUGCCAAUGACGUCGAAAAAUGACGCAAAAAAAUUACGUCCAGACUCGGUGUCUCCUGAUUUUGUCUCUCCAGGGUGCGGGACUCGGGGCUAAGAGGGGGAAUCGCGAGAUGUGCUGCAGGCGCUUCUGUGUCAACUGACAGAAAGAAUAAUAGUGCGAGGAAAAAUCGUGUCACAACUUACGCUAUCGCCGCACCUACGUACAUCCGUACCGCGUAUACCUAUAUAUAUAUAUGUGUAUAUAUAUAUUAUAUAUGUAUCAAGUAUACACCUUAUUACUCGUUGUGUCACGCUUAGAAGAAUCCAAUAGAUUAAAUUUGUAAUCCCUCGAAGUUGUUAUUUUCGGAACUGCAAACUCGAUUCGCGUAUUUCCCAUCGUAACUUUUAUGAAAAAAUUCAAUAAAAUUCGUAUUUUCAAGUAGUUUGAAAAGCAAUUUCAGAUUCGGAAUAUUCAUGUAUUGUUCUCGAAUGACAAUCAGGUUGUCUUAAUGUAACGUAACGAUAACAUUUCGCUGAAAUGUUAACUUUACAAUUGCAGACGAGGUUGAAGUUAGUAACGUUAACGUAUCGAAACGUUGAUACAAAAAUUAUUAGUAUGCACUUUUAGAAUAACUGAAGUAGUUUAAUAUACAAAACUUGAGUUUGUUGAUGCUUUGUUAAUGGGUUACUAAAUUUCAGAUAAUCCUAAGGUUGCAAAAUAACGACUUUUUCUAAAUAUGCAUCGUUAUAAUAACGUUACGAACUUCAGCCUGAUAGUUUCUGUGGGUCUCGUACGUCGCUGCAAGUCAGUAGAGCGAUUGUAUGUUUUCUUUGCCCCCAAAAGCAUUCUCAACAUUUUCAAGGUUCGCCAGAUUUAAAACUUUUACGAUCUUAGUUCUAAACAUCAACAACGUCGAGUUUUCUUGUACAUAUUACUCGUGUAUACAAAGAGCAGUGAAAUAUAUUU